rnacentral:tRNA from 1 species
AUCAGAAUGGCCGAGCGGUCUAAGUCACUGCGUUCAGGUCGCAGUCUCCCCUGGAGGCGUUGGUUCGAAUCCCACUUCUGACA